rnacentral:rRNA from 1 species
UACGAAGGAGGCUAGCGUUGUUCGGAAUCACUGGGCGUAAAGCGCACGUAGGCGGAUUUUUAAGUCAGGGGUGAAAUCCCGGGGCUCAACCUCGGAACUGCCUUUGAUACUGGAGAUCUUGAGUCCGGAAGAGGUAAGUGGAACUGCGAGUGUAGAGGUGAAAUUCGUAGAUAUUCGCAAGAACACCAGUGGCGAAGGCGGCUUACUGGUCCGGAACUGACGCUGAUGUGCGAAAGCGUGGGGAGCAAACAGG